UACGUAGGGGGCAAGCGUUGUCCGGAUUUAUUGGGCGUAAAGAGCGUGUAGGCGGCCAUUCAGGUCAGCUGUGAAAACUCGAGGCUCAACCUCGAGACGUCGGUUGGAAACCGUUUGGCUAGAGUCCGGAAGAGGAGAGUGGAAUUCCCGGUGUAGCGGUGAAAUGCGCAGAUAUCAGGAGGAACACCGGUGGCGAAGGCGGGUCUCUGGGCCGAUACUGACGCUGAGGAGCGAAAGCGUGGGGAGCGAACAGG
rnacentral:rRNA from 1 species